UCCUACGGGAGGCAGCAGUGGGGAAUUUUGGACAAUGGGCGAAAGCCUGAUCCAGCAAUGCCGCGUGCAGGAUGAAGGCCUUCGGGUUGUAAACUGCUUUUGUACGGAACGAAAAAGCUUCUCCUAAUACGAGAGGCCCAUGACGGUACCGUAAGAAUAAGCACCGGCUAACUACGUGCCAGCACCCGCGGUAAUA
rnacentral:rRNA from 1 species